rnacentral:lncRNA from 1 species
AAAUUUAUUGAAGGAGUCAGAGCUAGAUUUGGAACAGAAGAUGCUGAAAAAUAGGGGAGAAAUCAGAACAGCAAAUAUUUUUUGUUUACUGCUUUUGAAUUUCCCAAUUGAUUAGGGAUUCUUUUUCCUUUUGGAGGUGUUAUAUAUGGAGUGAUUCUACAGCAGCUAGGAGGCACGUUUUUCUUCUCUUAGUUCAUCUAUUAAUCUAGGUUUUUGUUCUUUAGUCUUUGUUUUGGUGAUUGGAAGCCAUGAUUAUGAGUAGCUAAUUUUGUUACACCAAUUCAAAGGAUUUAUCAUCCUUGCACUUUUGUGAGACUCGGGUUUUAAAUGAGUAGUUUCUUCUUGAAUAUCUGUUGUUUCUUGUUCUUAUUGAGUUGAUUCUAUUGAAUUCUUUACUAAAAAGGCCUAUUAGUGAAUUGUUUGGUAG